AAAUUGAAGAGUUUGAUCAUGGCUCAGAUUGAACGCUGGCGGCAGGCCUAACACAUGCAAGUCGAACGGUAACAGGAAGCAGCUUGCUGCUUUGCUGACGAGUGGCGGACGGGUGAGUAAUGUCUGGGAAACUGCCUGAUGGAGGGGGAUAACUACUGGAAACGGUAGCUAAUACCGCAUAACGUCGCAAGACCAAAGAGGGGGACCUUCGGGCCUCUUGCCAUCGGAUGUGCCCAGAUGGGAUUAGCUAGUAGGUGGGGUAACGGCUCACCUAGGCGACGAUCCCUAGCUGGUCUGAGAGGAUGACCAGCCACACUGGAACUGAGACACGGUCCAGACUCCUACGGGAGGCAGCAGUGGGGAAUAUUGCACAAUGGGCGCAAGCCUGAUGCAGCCAUGCCGCGUGUAUGAAGAAGGCCUUCGGGUUGUAAAGUACUUUCAGCGGGGAGGAAGGCGAUAAGGUUAAUAACCUUGUCGAUUGACGUUACCCGCAGAAGAAGCACCGGCUAACUCCGUGCCAGCAGCCGCGGUAAUACGGAGGGUGCAAGCGUUAAUCGGAAUUACUGGGCGUAAAGCGCACGCAGGCGGUCUGUCAAGUCGGAUGUGAAAUCCCCGGGCUCAACCUGGGAACUGCAUUCGAAACUGGCAGGCUAGAGUCUUGUAGAGGGGGGUAGAAUUCCAGGUGUAGCGGUGAAAUGCGUAGAGAUCUGGAGGAAUACCGGUGGCGAAGGCGGCCCCCUGGACAAAGACUGACGCUCAGGUGCGAAAGCGUGGGGAGCAAACAGGAUUAGAUACCCUGGUAGUCCACGCCGUAAACGAUGUCGACUUGGAGGUUGUGCCCUUGAGGCGUGGCUUCCGGAGCUAACGCGUUAAGUCGACCGCCUGGGGAGUACGGCCGCAAGGUUAAAACUCAAAUGAAUUGACGGGGGCCCGCACAAGCGGUGGAGCAUGUGGUUUAAUUCGAUGCAACGCGAAGAACCUUACCUACUCUUGACAUCCAGAGAACUUUCCAGAGAUGGAUUGGUGCCUUCGGGAACUCUGANACAGGUGCUGCAUGGCUGUCGUCAGCUCGUGUUGUGAAAUGUUGGGUUAAGUCCCGCAACGAGCGCAACCCUUAUCCUUUGUUGCCAGCGGUCCGGCCGGGAACUCAAAGGAGACUGCCAGUGAUAAACUGGAGGAAGGUGGGGAUGACGUCAAGUCAUCAUGGCCCUUACGAGUAGGGCUACACACGUGCUACAAUGGCGCAUACAAAGAGAAGCGACCUCGCGAGAGCAAGCGGACCUCAUAAAGUGCGUCGUAGUCCGGAUUGGAGUCUGCAACUCGACUCCAUGAAGUCGGAAUCGCUAGUAAUCGUGGAUCAGAAUGCCACGGUGAAUACGUUCCCGGGCCUUGUACACACCGCCCGUCACACCAUGGGAGUGGGUUGCAAAAGAAGUAGGUAGCUUAACCUUCGGGAGGGCGCUUACCACUUUGUGAUUCAUGACUGGGGUGAAGUCGUAACAAGGUAACCGUAGGGGAACCUGCGGUUGGAUCACCUCCUUACCUUAAAGAA
rnacentral:rRNA from 1 species